AUUAGAUACCCUGGUAGUCCACGCAGUAAACGAUGAAUGCUAGAUGUCCGGGUCGAAUGAGACCUGGGUGUCACAGCGAAAGCGUUAAGCAUUCCACCUGGGGAGUACGCCGGCAACGGUGAAACUCAAAGGAAUUGACGGGGGCCCGCACAAGCGGAGGAACAUGUGGUUUAAUUCGAUGAUACGCGAGGAACCUUACCCGGGCUCAAACGUGGAAGGAAUGAGUGUGAAAGCAUUCAGUCCUCCGGGACUUUCCACGAGGUGCUGCAUGGUUGUCGUCAGCUCGUGCCGUGAGGUGUCGGCUUAAGUGCCAUAACGAGCGCAACCCCCAUCGACAGUUGCUAACAGGUAAAGCUGAGGACUCUGUCGAGACUGCCGGCGCAAGCUGUGAGGAAGGCGGGGAUGACGUCAAAUCAGCACGGCCCUUACGUCCGGGGCGACACACGUGUUACAAUGGCAGGGACAGCGGGAAGCCAUCCGGCGACGGAGAGCGGAACCCGAAACCCUGUCUCAGUUCGGAUUGGAGUCUGCAACUCGACUCCAUGAAGCUGGAUUCGCUAGUAAUCGCGCAUCAGCCAUGGCGCGGUGAAUACGUUCCCGGGCCUUGUACACACCGCCCGUCAAGCCAUGGAAGCCGGGAGUGCCUGAAGUACGUGACCGUAAAAGGAGCGUCCUAGGGUAAAACCGGUGACUGGGGCUAAGUCGUAACAAGGUAACAAGGGCGAAUUUCGCGGCCC
rnacentral:rRNA from 1 species